rnacentral:rRNA from 1 species
AGGCAUAGCCGCAUCACCCUGCAGCACAAGAUUGGUUACUGAUUGAAGCUAAGCAUGGCUGAGCCUGGUCAGUACCUGGAUGGGAGACCACAUGGGAAAACUUGGUUGCUGUUGGAA